GCUAGCAUGGCCGGCCCGCCUGCCGGAUGCGCCGCUGCAGCCGGCGUCGCUCGCCCUCCACCCUCCCGCACGGCAGGCGGCCUCCUCUCCCCAACCACCCACUGCCUCAUCUCUUCCAUCUCCGGCUGCUGAAAUUGAUCCUACAAAUUGAUAUGUUCAUGAGUUGAUUUGGCCUUCCAAUUGCACUCCUCACUGAUACGAAGAGCAAUCGAAUUGAUUAGUCAAAUCAAUCACACAUGGGUAAGGAGGCGGUGGAUGAGUAUGGGAUAGACCUUCACGGCCGCGACAAGGAUGAGUGGAUGAUGGAGGAGGAGACGGGCCUCUUGGGCGCCGGCGAGCUGACCCCUCUGUCCCAUGCGCCGGUCUCCGUGGAGCUCGAUGGACCGCGCCCGCACGCUGCCGUGCGGCUCUCCGCGCCGCACGCUGCUGCCGGCCAAGCUUCUGCAGGUCGGGAGGAGAAAGAUUGGGGACGAUUUUUGCGGUCGGUAACCUCACCUUUAGCCAAGAUAUGGUUACUGUAUCAGAUGUACAAAUAACCAAAUACAAUCUUGAACCUUACUGAGCAUCAGAUGAACCUUACUGUAUUUUACCUAGCAAUAAUGAAUGGAG
rnacentral:lncRNA from 1 species